rnacentral:rRNA from 1 species
UACGUAGGGUGCAAGCGUUGUCCGGAAUUAUUGGGCGUAAAGAGCUCGUAGGCGGUCUGUCGCGUCGGCUGUGAAAACCCGGGGCUCAACCCCGGGCCUGCAUUCGAUACGGGCAGACUAGAGGUAGGUAGGGGAGAAUGGAAUUCCCGGUGUAGCGGUGAAAUGCGCAGAUAUCAGGAGGAACACCGGUGGCGAAGGCGGCAUCCUGGACCGGCAUUGACGCUGAUGAGCGAAAGCUAGGGGAGCAAACGGG